rnacentral:rRNA from 1 species
GUCGUGCGAGAAGGAGACUUCGGUCUCUGAGUAGAGCGGCGCACGGGUGAGUAACGCGUGGAUGAUCUACCCUUGAGUUCGGGAUAACGGUGCGAAAGCGCCGCUAAUACCGUAUAACAAUCCAUUUCAUCGUGGGUUCAAAGCAGGCCUCUUCAUGAAAGCUUGCGCUUGGGGAUGAGUCCGCGUCCCAUUAGCUUGUUGGCGGGGUAACGGCCCACCAAGGCUACGAUGGGUAGCUGGUCUGAGAGGAUGAUCAGCCACACUGGAACUGAAACACGGUCCAGACUCCUACGGGAGGCAGCAGUGGGGAAUAUUGCGCAAUGGGGGAAACCCUGACGCAGCGACGUCGUGUGAGGGAAGAAGGCCUUCGGGUCGUAAACCUCUGUCAGAAGGGAAGAACAUCCGGGAGUCGAACAGCCUCCCGGCCUGACGGUACCUUCAGAGGAAGCGCCGGCUAACUCCGUGCCAGCAGCCGCGGUAAUACGGAGGGCGCAAGCGUUAAUCGGAAUCACUGGGCGUAAAGCGUGCGUAGGCUGUUUGAUAAGUCAGACGUGAAAUCCCUCGGCUCAACCGGGGAACUGCGUUUGAUACUGUUGAACUAGAGUCCUGGAGAGGGUGGCGGAAUUCCUGGUGUAGGAGUGAAAUCCGUAGAUAUCAGGAGGAACACCGGUGGCGAAGGCGGCCACCUGGACAGGUACUGACGCU